rnacentral:misc_RNA from 1 species
CACCACUCGAGUCUGACUCGGUAUUGGGGGCCGCGACCCGUUCGCGCCCCUUAAAGUCUCCGGCUGGGCGGCCCGUCUCCGAGCGUUGUGGCAUCACAGUCUCGCUAGGGAGUCGCGGGUGGCGUCGGCCGUUAAACACCCCCAUCAAA